UUACUUAACUGCGAGGCUUUUUCUUUCGAUCAAAAAGGAGGGAAAAGGAGGAUGUUGAUGUUGGGUAUCCCAAUGGAUUGCUGCACUCUGUCAACAUAUAAUCCUUCAGACAGUCAUUUAUGAUUGACCUGACUCGAUAAUGUUUUUACUUUAGCUGCGCUCUGUCGCAGCUCC
rnacentral:snRNA from 15 species